rnacentral:lncRNA from 1 species
UUUGGAAAUUUUGGGAUCAGUGCAUGGACAAAUGAUACAUGUGGUACAAGUCAAACAGGGAGCAUCGAUGACUCAAGGGCUGAGGGCACUGACACUGGCAGUAGAUACUUCUCUUCCUGUUGCAGCUCCCCAAAGGCAUUAGAUGGACCUGCCAAAGAGGUACGGCUUGUGCUAACACCAUAAUGCUUUGUUUGAAAUAAUCUUUAUCCUACAGUUGGUCAUGCACCAAUUGCCCUUAGCAUCCAUAUAUAACAUUAUUUUAAUCUUCUAAGUGGUUUGACAUUUUCUUGGUAUAGAAAUCCACUCAAUGCACUCCUUGCCAUGCAUUGUGCUACAUGACAAUCUUUUUUUUCUUUUUCCAGCUCAAGGAAGAAUUUUUUGUAUCUGGUAGCGAAGAAGAAGCUGACUACCCAUAUGAUAAAGACAGUGAUGAAGAUCUUAGUGACAUAGACGACAAGGAGAUCCAUGAUGAGGUAGGCAGCGGGCCUUAUUUGUAUUUUGUCAUAUUCAUUUUCCCAAUUGAACGUUCCUUUAAUCUAAAAUGUCAAAUAAUUGUGUCAUUACAGAGAAGUGCAUUUCAUGCACACCAUAAUAUCCUGUCAUUGCUUCACCAGAAACUUUAUGAACUCUUACCGUUGUCUUUGCAUAUAUAUAUGUCAAGCAUAAAACUUUGGUUGACUUUCUUUUCUUAUUUAAAAAUGGUUCUUGUAUGACCACUGGGACUGAAGAUUUCUUGCAACAGAGCAUAUUCUUCAUUAUUUAUGAUCGCUUUUCUAAGCUAAAGUAGGACAGUGAAUACCUCUGCUUGAUGUGUGUUAUCCAGAUUGAAGGUUCCGUUGAUGAAGACUCCACCAAGUCAGAUGAGGAGUAUGAGGACUUGGCGAUGCGAGACGACCUCGAAAAUGUUUAUUGGUCCGAUGAUGAUGAGUCAGCAAACGGAAAGAAAGCAGCAGACGAUAAAAGACCAACCGACGAAGGAGACGUGAGCACAGCAGAUAAAUACCAACACAAUCUCGAGCUGUUCUUGAAGAUGAGCGAGGGUAUCAUGGAACCACCUUUUUCUUAUGCCCUGCUUCAUGGGCAAAGCAAGACGAGCACCGACAUGGGAGCGAGGAGACGUUCCUUGAGCGAUCCAAUGCGAUUCCGAGACCGGGCACAGAGCAUCCCGGCUGUGACGGAGUUGAGAGCACUAUGAAGGGGAUCAGUUCUCUGCUUAGGAUUAACCUUGAAAGCACAAUCUUUUGUCUUGAGUUGUGGAUGAGGAGAACCAGCCUUGAUCUUUCUGGAAUUAAGAUGUGAAUUCUGUUAGAAGGAGGUAUGGAGUCAAUUAUUGUGGCUUUAAAUCAUGGAAUGGAGAGGGAAAUGCUGCUAAAUGUUAUGGC